CAACUUCACGCAGGAGAAUUCAGUUGGACAGUCACCCUUAUCGAUGGCAAUACAAGGCAAGCUGACGCGCGAAUUCUUUUGUCGCUGCUUGCCAACAUGGCGGGCAGCAAUCCUCACC
rfam:Pantoea dispersa strain SA5 contig_34, whole genome shotgun sequence.